AGUUCGUACCCAGUCAUCGGCUGUGCAAUCUUCGUAGGAAAAUCAUUCAUCUAUGAAAUUUAUAGUGAUGGUGGUAUUACCAUGGUAGUAAAUAAGUACAGUCAGGAAGUGCAUGCAGUUCACCAAGGAGACGCUACAAAGUAGUUACUGUUUUCCAGAAUUCAGUUGAACCAAUGCUCAACCAAUGUUUAAGGGAGAAAAAGUGAGCGAACCAAUCGAAAACCAAACAUAUAGAUGCCUAUUUCUAUAGUAACAAACCAAGCGUCGGGAACUCUCCUGUAUAAAGCACGUGCGUUUAUGAAAAACGAAAAAG